GGGGGGGCAGGAAAAGUGAAUUUCUUGGGUUACCCGUUAAAUGCGUAGAUAUCCAGGAGGAACACCGGUGGGUUAAACUGCUUUCUGGACCCAUACUGACGGUGAGGCACGAAAGGGUGGUUAGCAACCAGGAUUAGAUACCCUGGUAGUCCACGCCCUUAAACGAUGCAUACUUGCUGUGAGCCAUUCAUUUGGUUCGUGCCGGAGCUAACGCGUUAAGUAUGCCGCCUGGGGAGUACGGUCGCAAGGCUGAAACUCAAAGAAAUUGACGGGGACCUGCACAAGCGGUGGAGCAUGUGGUUUAAUUCGACGGUAAGCGAGGAACCUUACCAAGGCUUGACAUGUAGUUGCAUCUUCUGGANACAGGAGCGCCUUCGAGGGUGCUACACAGGUGCUGCACGGUUGUCGUCAGCUCGUGCCGUGAGGUGUUCACUUAAGUGUGAAAACGAGCGCAACCCCUACGGUGAGUUACAAGUGUCUCACAGAACUGCCCGCGUUUAAGCGGGAGGAAGGUGGGGAUGACGUCAAAUCAGCGUGGCUCUUACGCCUUGGGCGACACACGUGCUACAAUGGGAAGGACAAAGGGACGCCAAGUCGCAAGACGGAGCAAAUCCCGCCAAUACUUCCCCCAGUUCGGAUUGAGGGCUGCAACUCGCCCUCAUGAAGCCGGAAUCGCUAGUAACCGUAGAUCAGCCUCGCUACGGUGAAUACGUUAUCAGGUUUUGUACGCACCGCCCGUCAAGCCAUGGAAGCGGGAAGCGGCUAAAGUUCCACCUUAGGUGGACCUAAGCCGAAGCUCGUAACUGGGGCUAAGUCGUAACAAGGUAAAUCGAAGUUCCCACGGCC
rnacentral:rRNA from 1 species